AUGGCAUUUGAUGCCGGUAAAUUUUUGAAAACGCCAGACCUGGAGGGAUUUGAUAAUUUAAAGAAAGAGGAAUUAGUGUUGCUUGCUAAACAUCUGAAAUUAAAUUUUAAAGUAUCUAUGAGAAAACAAAUUAUAAAAAAUUUGGUUAUAGACAAAUUAGUUGACGCAGAAAUUUUAGGUGAAGAGGCUCUUGAACUUAAGGUCGAAAAUGUAGAUGCCUUUAAAUUAAAACAGCUUGAAUUAGAACAUGAACUCAAAUUAAAAGAACUGGAGAUAAGAAAAGAAGAUGAACUUAUAAAAGAUGAACUUAAAUUAAAACAAGAUGAACUUAAAUUAAAACAGGCAGAACUGGAAAUGAAGGAAAGGUUGGAAAUGGAUAAAAAGGAAAAAGAAGAUGAAUUAAAAUUAAAAGAACUUGAAAUGAGGGAAAGGCUAGAGAUGGAGAAACUAAAACUUGAAAUGGUCAAAGAAGAAAGCAGCACUAAAGUCCAGUCAAAAUCAGAUUAUUUUGAUGCAGCAAAAAAUAUACGUUUGGUUCCCAGAUUUUGUGAAAAAACAGUCGAUAAAUAUUUUCCACAGUUUGAGAAAAUUGCUCGAAAUUUGAAUUCGCCAAAGCCGUAUUGGACUACAAUGCUACAAAGUGUUUUUGAGAGUAAGGCCGCUGAAAUAUACUCCGCACUUCCAUCAGAAAAAAGUUCCGAUUAUGACACGGUGAAACAGGAAGUUUUGAAAGCUUAUGAGCUAGUACCAGAAGCAUAUAGACAGAAAUUUAGAUCUUAUAAAAAGUUUGAUUCGCAAACCUAUGUGGAAUUUGCUCGGGAAAAAGAAGAUAUAUUUGAUAAAUGGCUUACUUCAAAGAAAACAGAUAACAAUUUUGAUAACCUAAGACAAUUGAUGUUAUUAGAAGAGUUCAAACAAUGUGUUCAUUUAGACUUAAAAACACAUUUAGACGACAAAACUGUUGAGACAAUACAUGAUGCAGCUGUUAUUUCAGAUAAUUAUACUCUUUCACAUAAAAGAAGUUUCAAGGGUCAAAAUGUUAAUACUUCCAGUGGAAAUUACAAAAAUCAAAGCACUGAGCGUACUGAUAGUAAGCCUGUUGCACAGAAUAAGAGUCAGUCCAGUUAUAAUAUGUCUAGUCCAAAAUCUGAUACUUUUGAGAAGAAGUCACUGAUUUGUGCUUAUUGUAAGAAAACUGGUCACCUGAUGGCUGAUUGUUUUAGACUCCAGAAGAAGAAUGAACGAGAUAAUAAGCCGAAGUCCAGUGCUUGUACGACACCUUAUAUUACCAGUACGUUGGAAUGUCCUGCGAGUCAGGCUUUUAAGUCCAGUUUUUGUGAUUACAUGGAGGAAUAUAAACCCUUUAUGUCUGAUGGGUUUAUUUCUAUUUUUGAUGAAUGAACGAGAUAAUAAGCCGAAGUCCAGUGCUUGUACGACACCUUAUAUUACCAGUACGUUGGAAUGUCCUGCGAGUCAGGCUUUUAAGUCCAGUUUUUGUGAUUACAUGGAGGAAUAUAAACCCUUUAUGUCUGAUGGGUUUAUUUCUAUUUUUGAUGAUACCACUCUUCAGCCUAUUAAGAUUUUACGGGACACUGGAGCUUCUCAGUCUUUAUUUUAGAAGGUGUGUUGCCUUUGUCCGAGAAGACUUCUGUUGGUGCCUCCGUUUUGUUACAAGGUGUAGAGUUAGGUUGUAUAGAUGUUCCUCUCCAUCGUAUUUAUCUGAAGUCAGAUUUGAUAACUGGACCAGUUGUUGUGGGUGUUCGUCCUAAUCUCCCUGUUGAGGGUGUUACAUUAUUGCUAGGAAAUGAUCUAGCUAGGAACAAAGUGGUUGCUGAACCAAUUGUUACCAGUGAACCAGUGGUGGAUGUUAAAUUACCUGAAGAUGAUGCUGAAUUGUAUCCAGCUUGUGUUGUCACUAGGGCGAUGGCUAGAAAACAACAAGAUGAGGAUUUGCAAGAAAACCAGUUUGAUUACAUGGACCUUUCUGACACUUUCCUAGCCGACAUUGAAGGUCCUGGUAGCUCAGAAAAGGUCAUAAAAAGACCACCUAAUGUUAACAAGAAUGUAAUUAUGCCAUGGCCAGACGUAAACAGCUAUUCAUUAAACAGAAAGAACUUUUUCGAAGAACAAAAUAAAGACCCUGAGGUUCUUCAGCUCUGCAAGAGGGCUCAACCACAGGAGGAGGCAGACAAAGUGGCUGAAUGCUAUUUCCAUCAGGACGGCAUUUUAAUGAGGAAGUGGAGGCCUCCUGAUGCUACCCCAGAGGAGGAAUGGAGAGUGGUAUACCAAGUGGUGGUGCCUAAAGUUUAUAGGCAAGAAAUUAUUGGUCUUGCCCAUGACACCCCCUUGGCUGGACACUUAGGUAUAAGGAAGACUUGCCUUAAGAUCUUGCAGCAUUUUCUACUGGCCAAAACUUAGAAAUGAUGUUGCAGAAUACUGCAAAUCAUGUCAUAUAUGCCAGGUUGUUGGUAAGCCUAAUCAGAAAAAUACCACCAGCACCACUUCUGCCUAUUCCAGCCUUUGACGAACCUUUCAGCAGAGUUCUAAUUGACUGCGUUGGACCUUUACCAAAGACCAAAACUGGAAAUGCGUAUUUAUUGACAAUCAUGUGUACAUCCACUCGCUUUCCUGAGGCUAUUCCGCUAAGAAAUAUCAAGACACCUACUAUUGUCAAAGCACUUAUCAAAUUUUUCACAUUAGUAGGACUUCCUAAGUCUAUACAGUCCGACCAGGGAUCAAAUUUCAUGUCAGGUUUAUUUCAGCAAGUCGUGUACCAGUUAGGGAUUGCUCAGUAUAGAUCAAGUGCGUACCAUCCAGAAUCUCAAGGUGCCUUAGAACGUUUUCAUCAAACAUUGAAGAACAUGAUUAGAACUUUUUGUCUUCAAUUUGACAGAGACUGGGAUGAUGGAGUUCACUUUCUACUUUUUGCAGUCCGAGAGGCUGUUCAAGAAUCCCUUGGAUUUAGUCCCUUUGAGUUGGUAUUUGGCCAUACUGUAAGGGGACCGUUAAAAUUGAUUAAGGAAAAGUGGCUUACUGAACAUACUGACUUGAAUCUUUCAGACUAUGUAUCUAGAUUUAAAGAAAAAUUGUACACUGCUUGUCAAAUUGCUCAGAAAAACUUUAAAAAUGUACAGAACAAGAUGAAAAUAUGGUAUGAUAAAGAUGCCAGGGACAGAGUUUUUGAGCCUGGUGAUAGGGUACUUGUAUUUUUGCCAGUCCCUGGACAUCCUUUACAGGCUAAAUAUUGUGGUCCUUAUACAAUAGAGAGUAAAAUCAAUGAUUUGAAUUAUAUUGUAAAAACUCCAGGUCGGCGUAAACAAACAGAGUGUGUCAUAUUAAUAUGUUAAAACCAUAUUUUGAGCGUACUAAUGAAUGUGAGAGUAAACCAGUUGCCACUUUAGGCAUGGUUAAAUUGGAGAACAAUCAUGACAAACCAGAUGUAAUUGAACCACCUUUUAGUUCUAAAACUAUGGAAGAGACAGUUAGAUUGAAAAAUUCUGAAAUUUUGUCAAAUUUAGACUCAAAACUUGCACAUCUGUCUUUUGAUCGUAGAGAAGAACUAAAAACUUUGGUAUUUUCUUUUAAAAAUCUGUUUCCAGAUGUGCCAAACAAAACCACUGCUGUUUGUCAUGAUGUUGAUGUAGGAGAUGCUUCUCCAAUUAAGCAACAUCCUUGCCGGCUCAAUCCACUCAAACUUGAAGCUAUGAGAAAAGAAAUUAAAUAUAUGCUUGACAAUGAUAUUAUUGAGCCGAGUAACAGUGAAUGAAGCUCUCCUUGUCUCCUUGUUCAAAAACCAGAUAAAACCUUUCGUUUCGUGACUGAUUUCAGAAAAGUAAAUUCAGUCUCAAAAUCUGAUUCCUAUCCGAUUCCAAGGAUAGACGAUUGUAUUGACAACAUUGGUCAAGCAAAAUUUGUGAGCAAAUUUGAUUUGUUGAAAGGUUAUUGGCAAGUUCCAUUGACACAGAGAGCUCGUGAAAUAUCAGCUUUUGUUACACCAGAUGGCUUAUUUCAAUAUACUGUAAUGCCGUUUGGCAUGAAAAGUGCACCAGCUACAUUUCAAAGAAUGAUCAAUAAUGUUAUAAAAGAUUUAACUGUUGUUAUGCUUAUAUUGAUGAUCUAAUUGUAUGUAGUGAUAGCUGGGAACAGCAUUUAACACAUUUGUAUGAUACUUUUGAUAAAUUGUCACAAUCAAAUUUGACUGUUAAUCUUGGUAAAAGUGAAUUUUGUCUGGCCACUGUUGAUUAUUUAGGGCAUACAGUUGGCCAAGGUCAAGUGAAACCUAUUAUGGCUAAAGUGGAAGCUAUUUCCAAAUUUCCUCCUCCUACAAAUAGAAAACAACUUAUGAGAUAUUUAGGCAUGAUUGGAUUUUACAGAAAAUUUUGUUCAAAUUUUGCUACUGUGGUUCAACCAUUGACUCAUCUUUUACGAAAAGAUUCUAAAUUUAUCUGGAGUGAAAAUUGUCAAAACGCUUUUGAAAAUAGCAAAUUACUUUUAAUUAAUAGUCCAGUUCUGAUUACUCCAGACUUUGAAAAACAAUUUAAACUUGCCGUUGAUGCAAGCGAUGUAGGAAUUGGAGCUGUUUUAUAUCAAGAGACAGAUGAUAAUGUUGAGAAACCUAUAUCAUAUUUUUCUAAAAAAAUUAGAUAAACAUCAGAAAAAUUAUUCAACUAUCGAAAAAGAGUGUUUUGCAAUGUUGUCAGUACUUCGACAUUUUGAUGUAUAUUUGAAUCCCACUGUAUAUCCUAUUCUUGUUUGUACUGAUCAUAGUCCUCUCACCUUCAUACAUAAAAUGAGAAACAAGAAUCAGAGGUUGACUAGGUGGAGUUUAUUAUUACAGGAAUAUGAUGUAAUUGUAAAACAUAUUAACGGUAAAGAUAAUGUAAUAGCAGAUGCUUUAUCUAGAGCUUAUUAAAACACUUUGUAUAUAAUAUGUAUUUUUGUUCAUAUUAUUCAUGAUAAGUUUUUGUUACACUAAAACUUCUUUUAAGGGGGGAGGUGUUAUGAUAUUGUAAUUAUUGUAUUUAUUUAUGUUGGCCUAAUUUGUGUUGUGUGGCCUGAUAGUUGUUUACAGAAUAAUCUUAGAACUGUGCAGUUUAGAAAUCUCUGGAACAAUUACAGAAUGAUUGGAACUUUCCAGAAUGAUCCUAAUAAAAGAUGUGUUAUAUAAACUUCUACAUUUUACUAGAAACUUCUGUUGUAACUUUCUAGGAUGUUCCAUUAUAGACUGUUCUAGAAUCUUCCAUGACAACUAUAUAUAUAUAUACAGACACUAAAGCUAAACUCUCACUCUUGCACUUGGACUUAGACAUCGAUAGACAUUAAUAUUCAUAGCAUUUGGAUUAACAUUUUUAUUCUACAAACAACAUCAUACUGGAUUGUGGCCUUAGUAGUGAACGUAAUAUUCAGAUUGGAUUCCGAAAGAUUUCCUGAUACAGACAAAGAUAAAAGAUUGGACUCAUAUUUUGACAGUUAAGUUGACAGUAAUAUUUGUGUAAUACUUCUUGUAAACUUUUGUAUAAUAAAUAUUGUUAAAUUUUAUUAUUGAUUUGUGUCUUUUGUUGGCUACAAUUUAAAGGCGAUUUCUGGCCGUAACAGUAUUAACAUGAGUAUUGGUUAUAUUCUCAUUAACUAAUUUGAAUUAUGAUGAUAUUAUUGAUAAAAAGGUUUCUAUUUUGUUGCAGUCUUCAAUUUGAACUUGUUCUAAAAGUUGUGAAAUGAUAUGUAAGAGAGGCGAAAGAUACCAGAGGGACAGUCAAACUCAUAGAUCGACAAUAAACUGACAACUCAAUGGCUAAAAAUAAAAAGACAAACAGACAGAUAAUAGUACACAAGACACAACAUAUAAAACUAAAGACUAAGCAACAUGAAUCCCAUCAAAAACUAUGGUUGAUCUCAGCUGCUCCAGAAGGGUAAGCAGAUCCCAUCUUGUUGCUCAUGUUAUUACAAAUCCGGUAAAUAGUCAAAAAGUUUCAGUAUUUUUUUUCAAGAUAAGCAAGGUACAUUAAACUUUUGUUUAAUUAAUUAACUGGCUUUUAAUGAGAGGAAAAUUGUUAUACAAUUGAUAUAAAAUUUAUAUUGCGUGUUUGUUUUUAUGUCAGUAUCAUUGGGAGAAUGAUUUCCCGAAACGAUUGGUAAAGAAUAAAUUCUGCCCAUUUCCAUUUCUAAAUUCGAUUUAAAUAGAUGUUAUACAUGUAUAAGAAUCAAAUUCUCACAGUCACAUGUUUAUUUCAUAUUAUUGAUCUGUUUUUCUUGGAAGCAUGUUAUGAUGAAUAGUCAGACGCUUGUUAACAUAAAAAGUCAAAAGUAUGAUGAUAUGAAUGACAAUUUGGUUUAGGUUGGUUUUAGUAAAUUCAACAGAAUAAAAUUUUUCUUUAUGGUCCUUUUAAUUUGUGUAAGAAAUACCUUUGUAUCCUAGCUUUGCCUUGACGUUUUUGUGUUCGAGUGGCAGUUCACCUGCUUAAGCAUUAUCAUAUUAUAAAUGUUUUUUCUAGAGUAAAAAGUACGACUCAGGCAUUUCGAAAGAUAAUAACAGAGGAAGGUUUUAAAGGUCUCUAUAGAGGCGUCGUGCCAAAUGUCCAGAGAGCAGCACUAAUCAAUAUGGGAGGUAAUAAUACAGUUAUGUGAAGAUGGAGUUUAAUAUUGUAAUUUUUAACAUUUUAAAUAACAUCUGUACAUUACUGUUUUGUUUUUAUUAGCUGAAAUGAUUGCAUUGAUUUGUAUAUCAUACUUUAAAUACUAUAACUAGCCUUGUGUAGACUGUUGGAAUAGUUGUUCUGUCCAACGUGGUUGUUUGUGUAUAUCAGGUAGAAGGUGCAAAAUAGCUAUAUUAAGGGUGUAGGCCUUAGUAACAUUAAUAUUUUCCUCUCGUUUAAUUUUUCUUAUAUUUACAUCAUUCGUUUUAAGUGUUCUGUCGUACAUUCAUGAGAGGUGUUCGUUGCUAUUCUGUGGUUUACAUGUUGUUGUAUAUUAUUGUAUAAUUUAUGUAUUGCCUGAAGUGUGUGUUCAUGGGUUUGUUUGUAUUGUAUUCCAGUCGCGGAGUGUUGUAAUUUUAGCGGUAUUUUGUUUUAUUUUUUACAUUAAAACGGGAGAAACACUUACAGGAUAUUUGUUUUUCUUUAGUGACAUAGUUGUUUGCGUUUAUAUUGAUUAAGAUUAUAACACAAUGUUGAGUGCUGUUUCUCUUUUGACAUUUUUAAAUAUGAUUCUAGUUGUUAUUGUUAAUUGAAUCUAUGCGACUGAAUAUGUCGCAAAAAUGAGAGGCUAGCUACCUUUAAAACCAUGUUCAAUCCAUCAUUUUCUACAGAAGGAAAUGCUUCAUCAUGUCAAGAAUAUCACAGUUGUUCCUUUCAUUUAAUGUGUUUAAUCUUGUGAAGAGACUUUCCGUUUUUAAUUUUCGUUAGAGUACAAUGUCAGUUUUCAUUCGAUGUAUGUGUUUUGAAUGUAACCUUAAUAUCUUUCGCUAUAGAAUACUAUAUAGUUGAUGAAAACGACUGUGCAAUAUGCAUACCACCAAAAUCUGUGAUUGAUCAUAGGUGACGAGUGUCCUGUCAGGAGGAAUUAUUCACCAUUCCAGGCAACGAAGUAUCCGCCCGAUUUCUAGCUCACUCUACAAGAUGAUAUGUAGAUAGCAUUUUUGUAAGAAAUCACACCAUCUUAAACGCAGAUGCAUAAAUUUAAGGAAUUGUGUAAGAAUACUUUGGUUUGUUUUUGUAAUUAACACUUUUUAAAAUUCCUGUUAAUCAUCCGCUAGAAAUGUAUUUUUAAUUUAUUUGAACUGUUUUGAGGAUGUUAGCGAUCUUGCUAAAUGAAAUUGCAGAAACAUAUUUCGAUCGCAUGACACCGUCCAUUUUGUAAUUAUUCGCGAAUAAUGGAUUGUAUAAGCCAUAAAACACCAUCUAAUACUAGUACCCAACAUAUAUGUACUUUUAAAAUUUACUUUUUUAGAUCUAGCAACAUAUGAUACAGUAAAACAUGGAGUUUUACAGUAUACAUCUUUGACAGAUAAUUGGGUGACACAUACAAUAUCAGGGUAAUAAAUUAUUUAAAACCCAGUAUGGUCAUGUAAUUUACUCUACCCUUGUCUGUCAACACUGAGAUCAUGAGUGUAAUCUCGACAUGUAUUAAUAGAACGGAUUUAAAAGUUUACAUUUCUUAAAUUUCUUUGACUUCAGUAUGCACCAUUUACUGUUAACGUAUAAUCACUUUAUUCGUCUGUUUAUUCGUGAUCUAUUGAAAGACUUAAUACUUAAUUAGUAGCUUGACAGCAAUAAAUCGUAACGUUUCGUCAUGUCGAAUCAGUCUGACACUUAAAUGUUUACCCAUACUUCUAUGCUCAGAACUAAUGGACUCAUAAUUAAGGAGGUAACACGAAACAGCAAACUAUAUCAUUCAUUUAAAAGUAAUGCGGACCUGAUAUUUAGACGUUUGUGCUUACGAUCUCAUAAGUGACUAUAUUUUUAGGCAACACUUGUUUAUCAACACAACCAAAAACCAGGUGUGGUUUUUAGGUGUUCCAGAGGGGUAGGCAGAUCCUGAUCCACAUUUUGCACCUGUCAUAUUGUUCGUGUAAGAACACAUCCGUUGAAAAGUCUUAUUUGGUAAUUCACAUUUGAGAUGAUUUUGUAAAUUUAGGUGCUCAGUAUAGAGAUGGUAACCUUUUCAUCUACAAUUUCUGGGUGAAAAGAGAGUUUUGUACUAUCAUAAACUCUUUUGUGAAUGAUGUAGGAGCUUAAGUGGGAUUCACGGUGAAAUGCAAAUUCUUUAGUUACCAUAUCAGUGUCUUUUAGUGACGUUUAUAGUAGGCUAGAUUAAAAUAUGUGUCGCAUGAUAUGAUCCAUUAUCAAAGUAUAGGCCUAUAUUGUCAAUAUAACAUGAUUCAAAAGAAAUUAUCUUUUUUUGUACUAAAAUACUUAACAAUAUAUCUACCAAUCCCGAAGCGUUCGUUUUUGACAAUGUGUCGGUCUUUGUUAUGAAAAAAAAGCAUGUGAUCUAAAUUAACAUACGUUUAACAACUACAGUAGAUUUUGUAAAAUACUAGAAAAAUAUAAUCAACAUUUUAGUACAUGUUCUGGACUAUCAAUGGCCAUCUUAGGGACUCCAGCUGAUGUAAUAAAAACUAGAAUUAUGAAUCAACCAUCAGAAAACGGAAGGUAUUUAUCAUUAUGUGCAGUAGGUACUAAGUUAAUGUGUGAUCUAAUCGUAAAACGAACCAUGAAUUAACCUUUAUAUUUUGAUCAAUCACAUAUAAAUUUUUUCAAAAGACUUUUCCAUAUUUAGUUUUAUUUAUUCUUGCUGACUUUCAAAACACAAUUCGGUACUCAAAUGAUGUCAUUUGUUCGCCGCUAUUAUGAUUAAUAGUAUAAGGACGGAUAACUGCAAGUUGAAAGAAAAUGCAACAGCAGAUACAAAAUGUAAAAAUAAAAAAUCAUAUAUCGAAAAAAACACCAGUUUGGUCGAAAAGACAGACUAAAAAUAGAAAAUCAACAGACUGUAAAACAUAACACAGAAAACUAAAGACACAAACCUGACGUAAUCCUCGUGUAUUCUUUUGUGCUCCGGAAUAAUAUGUAAAAGAGGGAAGAAAGAUACCAAAGGGACAUCCAUUAGUGUCACCCGUUGGUUUGUUCAUGUCAAGUUGAAGAGGAGUUGAUUCAUGGUACUCAGGAUAACACUUUAUACAUUUUAUUCUACCAAAGCGCUGUUCUGUAUUUAUUUCUUUCCUGAACGCUCAAACCAAAAAUGUUAGUGGUGAUGAUGAAUAAAUACACGAAUAUCAACAGGGUUAUUAAAAGAAUGGCCCAUUCAUAUAAGGUCAACCCAAAUGAAGGAAGUUGUAACCUUAUUUUCUAACUGAUUUCUUAAUAUAUCGACAAAUAAUACAGAAAGUAUGUUAAAAUCUUUUCAGUACCGAAACAAUGACUUCUGAGCUGAUGAUGCACUGGGGUACUAAACGUCGACUAGCAAUGGCCUGGCGUAUUUAAUUAUAAGCCUGGUACCUUUAAUAACUAUUGCCGUAAUGUUCUAUUGUAUUGGUUAUUUUUGUGUUUCUCUGUCCUGUAUGUAUUUCCAUUUAUUUGUAUUGUAGUCCUGUCGUGUAUUGUUGUCAUUUUAAAAUCAGUGUUAUAUUCCACAUAACCGUUAAAGCGGGUGGUUUGGCUAGCCACAAAACCAGGUUCAGUUCCACCUUUUUUUCUUAAAAUGUCCUGUACCAAGUCAGGAAAAUGGCUUUUGUUAUCUUAUAGUUCGUUUCUGUGUGUGUUGCAUUUUAGUGUUUCUGUUGUGUCGUUGUUCUCCUCUUAUAUUUGAUGUGUUACCCUCAGGUUUUGAUUGUAUAGAUAUAAGAAGAUGUGGCAUGAGUGCCAAUGAGACAACUCUCCAUCCAAAUAACAAUUUAUAAAAGUAAACAAGUAUAUGUCAAGAUACGGCCUUCAACAUGGAGCCUUGUUUCACACCGAACAACAAGCUAUAAAGGGCCCUAAAAUAACUAGUGUAAAACCAUUCAAACGGGAAAUCCAACGGUCUAAUCUAUAUAAAAAAAAACGAGAAACACGUAUAAAUUACAUAAACAAAUGAUAACUACUGUACAUCAGAUUCCUGACUUAGGACAGGUGCAAACAUUUGCAGCGGGAUUAAACGUUAAAACAUUAAAAAAAACACAAACUCAAUCAAAAAACGUAAAUGAAUACACUAUGAACGAAUAAAUUUGAUCUGCGAUACCUAGUUACUAACAGCUAGUUAAAAGCCAAAACAAUUAAUAAUAAAAAAUUCAUGCAUCAGAGGCUAAAAUCAACACAUCCCCGGGUUUAAUAUUUUAACGUCAUGAAAGGUCAAAGAAGACAUGACUUGUGCAAUGCCAAAAAUAAAUGUAUCGACAGGAAGUAGGAUAGUGAGGAGCGACUUCUUUAAAGAUGACGUGUGUGUGUCUCUAAAGAUACUGCUUGAAAAGAAAAUACAAUUGAGUUAUGUUCAAAUUUGCUAAUGAAACCCGAUUUAUGAAUUUCGAAUAUCGGUUUGCUACUGUUGCCUUUAUUGACCCAGUGCCACUUAUGGAAAAUAGUACGUUAUAAAUUGGUGCCUCCGUACCACAUUCCUUGAUUUCCUUCGCCAGGAGCUCGAAUAUAUAUAAAAAAUAAAAGCUUAAGUUGUAUAGAUACAUAAAUGCAUAAGAAGCUUUUAACUAAAAAUCACACGUCGUUGUCGAUGUAGUGAAAUUUUAUGCAAAGUUUCAUACAAGUGAUAGAUUAGCUAGCUAUAAAACCAGGUUUAAUCCACCAUUUUUUAAAUAAGAAAAAGCCUGUACCAAGUCAGGAAUAUGGCAAUAGUUGUCCAUUCGUUUGGUGUUUUGGAGCUUUUGCUUUUGCCAUUUGAUUAGGGAUUUUUCCUCGGAGUGAAGUAUUUUUGUGAUUAUACUUUUUAUGGAGCCAAAAAAAAAAGAAAAAUAAUAAUCAAAAUCAUAUAAUGUAAUAUAUAGGUCAAGAUGUUCAGACAAAUUAAGGGCCAUCAAAGAAAAACAAUAAAACAUUAUGGAAGAAAGUAGAAAUAUGUUUGUAUCUUGCAGUAGUUUGUAUAUGUCUUUAUUGAGUUGAUUUUUAACAUAAUGUAAUGCAGCAGUGAUUUCUUUUUCCUGUUUAUAUUACAGAGGUAAAUUAUAUGCAGGAUCAGUGGAUUGUUUGGUGAAGACAGUCAAUCAAGAAGGGUUCUUAGCUCUAUACAAAGGAUUUUUACCUAUAUGGGGAAGACUUGUAAGUUUCAAAAAGCUUUUCUUCAAUAUUUAAAAUACAGCUAUUAUUUAGGGAUCUAAAGAACUGCAAAUACUUUCAUGAAACAAAUAUUAUUCAACAUAAAUCAAUUUAAUUUUAUUCAAGUUUCAGGGAAAAAAGAAACAUAUAAAAGAAGAUACUAAACGAAAGGACAAUUAAACAUAAGCCGAAAAAGGAUAGAAAAUACCAACACGGCUAACAUACAUCGACCGAAUGGAUACGCAAUUUCUGGUCUACAGAUAAUACAUAAAAAAUGAUAUAUCAACAAUGCACAAUGUUUAUAAAUAUCUUAUAGAAGUUGGUGCUUCAGCACUAACAUAACUAAUAGCAACUAUUUGAAAAUUCGCCGUUAAAAGAUUAAGAAAUUAUUUAGAAGCUAAGGUUCAAACUUGAUCAGGAAUGUUGAACUUUAAAUGAUUUGGGGUAUUCCUUUUUGUGUCCCUGUUGGUCACAAAUCUCAAUAUAUUUCGAAGUUGUCAUUUACUGUUCGAGAAAUGUGUGUAUUAAGGUUUGGUGAAUCAUCAGCUGGAAAUUAUAAUGAACGUUUUUUUCUAAUUAUUUUUUUUACAUGCUAUGAACAAUAACAUGAAUAUCUUAUUUCAAUUGAGUCCGAUUGAAGUCAGUAAGAAUUUGCACUGCUUCAUCUGAACAACGGGGUCUCUUCAAAUCUUUACAUUAUAGUUAAUACUGUUUUAAAUAUGAUUACGGACAUUAAAUACAGGUCAAGAUUAGUGUUAGCCAUGAUAUUCACAGGCAGGAAUUUGGCUUUAAGUUUACAAAUUUAGGAUUUUUUUUUGUUACAGUUUGUAGAUGAUCAAUAUAUAUUUUGGGAAAAUUUUCAUUACAUUGUCGUGUCCCAUUGAAUAAUACCUCUGCUGGUGGACUGUCAGUCCCCGAUGGUAUCAUCAGCUCAGUAGUCAGUACUUUGGUACUGACAUGAUUCAACAAACUUUACUAAAAGUGUCUGAAAUUAUUAAGAAACUAAGGUUUCAACUCCCUCAGGCAAAGUUGGCUUUAGAUGAAUUUGGCUAUUUAUUUUUUGUAUUUUUGACAUAUAGCUCUUCAACAGUUUCGGUACUUAUACAUCUUCGGAUUUUAAAUGUUUGGCUUUGAGCGUUCCUUAUGAAGGUAAAUCCCAAAAAAAGCGCUUCGGGCGCAACAAAUUAUUAAACGUGUUGUUUUCAAUAUUUUAACACCGGAACGACCAUUUGAUUUUUGUUUGUUGGGGCUGGUAGGAACUGAAAAUAAAUAUCUUUGCAUAAGACAAGAUGAGCAUGAAUAUUUUGAAACAUAAAAUUCGAAAAAACUAAUGUGUGCAAAAAUGAAACCAAGUCAGCGGGAACAAAAAGCAUGAGUAGCAAUAGUUGAAAAUAAAUUAUUAGUAUGGAAAAAACCCUGCUGACCGUCCCUCGUAUAUCAAAUGUCUAAUCUCUACAUUUGUAACAGGACAUGGGUCAGGAAUCGUUUGACGUGUGCUGCAUUUAUAGCAGCGAUUUUAUCUAGGCUGAAUAAGAAUGAAUUAAUAUAUCUACUUGUUAAAUUAUUGGUGUCUUGUGAUUUUUGUGCUGUUAGGUUAUGGUCUCAUUGACAUAUACCCCUAACUUCUAUUCAUCCACACGCAUAAAAGAAUGAUAGUUGAAAGUUUUCUAUUGAUGGAGUAAUGAUGUUUUAUUUAUUGCAAACAAAAUGGGACAAAAUAUACACAAAUAGUGAUAUAGCUUGCUGUCAAAUAAUUUUAUGAUUAAAUAAGGUUUGUUGCAUACAAGAAUUAAUCAAAAUUAAAUACUAAAAAAAUCAAAGCUCUUGUUUCUAAAAACCAUAUAAUUCAAUUCCAAAAGUAUUAAAUUAUUUUGACAUAUGAAUACAGAAGCCAGGGUCAUGUUAAAAUGUAUUUUACAUUUCAUUUCUUUCAGGGACCAUGGUCAUUGAUAUUCUGGAUAUCCUUUGAACAAAUCAGGAAGCUGUGUGGUGUAUCAUCAUUCUGAUCUCAAUGUAGUUAUAUAAAUAUUUUUAUGCAAAUCAAAAAUAUUCCUGGAAUACCUCUUAAUCCAUAAGAUCUGAUAUAUCAGAUAUAAAGGAUAAGAUGAAAAAGCUAGAUAUUUUGUUAUAAGAAGGCUAAUAUAUUAAGAUAAUAAUUAUCGUCAUUGUCUUCUACAUUGUUACGGGGUUUUAUAAACAAGACUUUUUUUAUCUUGUAUUUUUUAGAAUCAUCUCUCAUUUCAGCCAUUCAAAAUAUAAAUUGUCUUUGUCUUACACCAGCCACUCUUCAAAAUAUUUCCUCUAGAUUUAUUUUUUUGGAUUCCACUUUUAAUAUGUAUCCUACCAAAAUAGGGGAAACAAUUGUUCUGAUUCUAUGUAUUUGCAUAUUGUGUGACGGGAACUUUGGCUCUAAUCAUUACUGAUAAUGGUCAAAAGAAAAAUGAAUACCAAAGUCUGCAAUCAAUUUUCUUCACUUUUGAGUAUAGACAUUAGUAUAUGAUCAAGUACAAAAUAGAGCACAUUUUUUUUUUCAUAAAUGAUUUAAUAAUUUCUUAAACGAUUGUUAAAGUUUGAGUAGGCAAUCGACAAAAGUCUCUCAUUGAUAAGUUUCUGCGGGGUUUAAUGCACUAAAAGUUUUCAAUGGAAAUCUUGAUGCCGUUGGUAAACAAGAAACUCCUUCUUUAAUAACCUGAAUACACCUUUCUUCGCCUUUAAGCAAACUGUUUCUUAUUUUUCUAUAAUUAUUAUGUAUUGCACAGGCCUCCAGGGAUUAAAUAUGGUGUAUCAUACAUAGUCUGUAAGCGUAGCGCUAAUCUCCAUAUAAUUUCUGUUUAGAUACUAAGUAAAUGGUUAUGUCUUAUUUUAAAACAGAAAACUAUCAUGCUUUUAUUUUCAUUUCUUAUUCCAACGAAAUACUUUGAGUUUCUAUUUUUCAUUGCACUUAAUUAUGUUAAUGUACAUCAUUAUGUAACAACCUGAAUAUAGUUAACAGCAAAAUCAAAAGAAUUUCAGAGUGUAUGAUAAUAAGACAGCAACAUCAAUUAUACAACAUGAUUAACUAUGCUGUACCUGGAUAUCUCAGAAAUACCUGGUAUCUGACUCGGACAAACAUUUGUCGGUCUUAUAUGGUUGUUUUUUUUUUCUUUUUUCUCUCACCAUUUUACUGCUCAAAAUUAUUCAAAAAACGUCCAAACAGCACGGAGAAGUUUUGCAUAUGCUUUAACACCUAAAAGGACUGACAUUGUGGGAUUAUUUGAAUUUGAAAAAAGAGAUUUUUUUUCUUCAUGAACGUCACUUCUGUUCAACGUGAACGGUCCAAAUUAAUAUUAAUUUCUCAAAACAAAAAUUUCAAAAAGCUUUAAGGUUUCCAUCUUGAUUAAGUGACUGAUCCAUACAGAAGUGUGUAACUGUUGCUGGCUUAACACGCCUGCACCCUUUGGAGAAUAUCCUUGACGGCAUAUGUGCUUAUUUUUUCGGAACGGCAUAUUCAAACUUUAUUAAGUUUUGGGCCCCUUUUUGUUCACUUCAGUGUAUCCACUAAACCGUCUCCUUAAUUAUUUACACUGUGUUAGUGUUAUUGCUUUUCCUUCAUAUACCAUGAAGGAUUUCUUCUAAUUUCCGGACAUUUUUAAUGUAGAUUAAGUCGUCUUCCAAAUGUUCAAAUUAGACGAAAUAAGCUUGAAAACUACGAUGAGUAAUUUACGCACUGCGUUUUCAAAGAACCCUUUUUGUUUGACGCAUGCAAGUUAAGGUUGGAAUAUGGUAUUUAUAAAGUUAUAAAGAUGACAGUGAAGAGUUAACUGCUGUUAUGCGCCUUUGGGAUGGAUUGAUAGCAAAGGACACAGUCCGUUUGUGAAGUAUGUUGUCAGAUUUUCUGAUACCAACAUUGGUUAAAGUGUAACAAAAAUACCGAACUCCAAGGUAAAUUAAAAAAGGGGAAAUUCUUAAAACCUGACAACAUCAAGCGUUAUCAAACAACGGAACGAGUGGUAAACAACUGUCAUAUUCCUGACUUGGUACAGGCAUUUUCCGGAAGAACCUGGGAUUAUAGUUAGCUUAACCUCCCACUUUUAUGACAGUUAUUCAUAGUUCCGUUAUAUUGACAAAAUUUGGUGAGUAAUCCAAACAGAUAUAAUACUUUAAUGUGAUAAUAAUUGGGAUCCGCAGCCAAAACUACACAAGUAAAUUUUUCUAACGUGAAAUUCAUCUCAAACGAGCUUAUACAUGAAAAUCGCAUGAAAAUUUUCAUGCGAAUUUCACGUGAAUUGAGAUUCAUAUGAAUCUCACAUGAAAUUUUUCACAUGAAUUUCAUUUGAACUUUCCUCAAAAAAAAAAGAAAAUGGUAUUUUUCAUGAUUUUAAUUAAAUUUGAAAAUUUAGAUGUUUUAAAUUCACGUGAAAUAAGCUCGUUUGAGGUGGAAUUCGCACGAAAUUCAUGUGAGUGAAAUUUACCUGUGUAUGUUAACAUGCAUCACAAAAAGAAAACGCAACUGACUAAAGAAUUCAAACAAACAUACAAAUAAAUCUAACAAAGAUGCAAACAAAAAGUUUUUUUAGUUGAUAGUAAAUUGACAAAGACACCGAUUAAAAGUUUUUGUAGGUGAUAGUACUUAGCGUACAUAGUAAAAACCUUCUCUAUGAAGUACAAAUUCAGUAAAAUAUAAAUACAGGGUCAAGAAAAUAGAAACAACACUAUAAAAACCUCUUGCGUCCGAAUCGCGCCUCAGGACCCAACUGCACCAGCAUAAAUAUUGUGUAUUUGUGAACUGUCGUUUGUCGUUUUUUUUUUGUUUUUUUUUUUUCAAGGUUUUGUCAGUUUGUUUUCGAUUUAUGAGUUUGAGUAUCGCUUUGAUAUAUUUCGCCUCAAUUUUAGACAAUAUCAACCAACGGAACGAAUGGAAAACAUGUGUCAUACACCUGACUUGGUACGGCCAUUUUCCGAAGAAAAUGGUGGAUUAAACGUGGUUUUAUAGCUACAUGUAGCUAAUUAAACCUCACACUUGUAUGACAGUUAUUCAUAGUUCAGUUAUAUUGACAAAAUUGGUUAAGCAAUCCAAACAGACAAAACUGCUUAAUGUGACAAUAAUUAGAAUCAAGUUCACAAAACAGGAUGAACAUACAUCACAGAUAUACAACACAAUUGACUAAAAAAACAAAUAAAUAGCAAACAGCCGAUUAUACUUCAAGGAAGAAGUCAAGUUUUGGAACCACAUGCCCUUUUAUGCCACUGAUAAAGCUCUUGAUGAUCAGUGCCUUUUGUCAUCUCAAAGUUAUUUUUGUUGUAUUUCUUAAGUGGAGCUCAAAAAGAUGGUAUUUACGAAUCAGUAUUUUUAACGGAAAUUAGCCUUCAGACUUUGUGCUUCACCCCACAAAAAGUAGUAGAAUUGGCAGAUGGUUAUUCAAAAAUUCAUGUACCUAGACGACUGCUUGAUAAACAAUUUGGAGAUGGUAGUUCUUUUUAGCCUGCUUAUUUUUGUGCUAGACUUAGCACAGGCCUUAAGUCUACUAGUCUAUUACAAAAAGUUCAAUUUGGAGCAAGCUCAACAUAAUGAAUACUAGUACUUGGCAGCUCUUUUCAAUUAAGAGAAGAACGGCAAACAAUAUCACAAUCGAGAAUAGGACACGAUUGGUGAAACUACAGAUAAGACGACUGUUCUGGUAUUUAGAGGUCUAAUACUGUGAAAACAUGUCGCUUGUAAGAUGAGACAAAGACAUAUCAAAUCGGUCAGCCAAAUGUGUGAUGGUGAUGAAAUUAUGAAGUGUCGAUCCCAGUCGUUUUUUUUGUGUAAGGAGUUCAUCCUGCUUUGUGUAGUGUGAUUAUGCACGAGCGUGACGUUUCAAUUGAGAUAUGUAAACGCAAUACGGUGAGAAGAGAGCUUGUUCCUGCUGAGGAGUGGGAAGUUAACAAUUGGAAAGGUGAAAUUAUCACGUUUGUCAUUGAUUCUAGUUUGAAGUCAUCAAUAUCUGUCAAUAUUGUGGAAGAGAUCAAUAUAUGAAGCAGACCUAGUUUCGGUAGUACCACUAAUCUCAAACUCACAGGGAUACAUGAGGUACAAGUACACACUGAAAUGGUUUUUCAAGAAAUGUGUCAUUACGAUUUUUAUUUUCAAAGGAAAAUCACUGUUUAACGAAACGAUGCAUUCGAUUUUUCAAUUGAGCAAUAAGUUUGAGAGAUAGUUUUUUUUAGGAAGGUCAUACAAUACAAGUGUUAUAAGCUUCGUCAAUAAGUCAUUUAACGGCUAUGGGAACUUUUUCAGUGGUGCAUUCAGAACAAAGUGUCUAUUUGUGCAGUCUCCAUCCUGAAAAAAAUGUUUGAGCAGAUGCACUUUGAAGGGCGAAACAUCAUGUGAAAAUGACGGAGUGAACAUUCAAUAAUGUAGCAAUGAAUUUGAUAUUCCUGCGCACAGGUACUCCAAUCAUAAAUCUGUUUGCAACAGAGUUAAACAUAGUAUAUUGCUCAUCAGUUCAGCACAUGAAUGCAUUUCUCUAAUUGUAAAUUAGAGCGACAUGAUUUAAAUGCAUUUACUCAAGCAAGAUCCGUUAUUCGAGUAUUCCUAAGAUUUGAGAAAAGAAAUACUGUGGCUCUGCGAAAAACACCAAUGUGACCAAGACAAUCAUUGUAUUCUCAGAUCCCUAGAAACAAAUGACAGAUAUUCAUAUCAAUAUAAAAAAAAAAAGAGAUGUGUUAUUUCUUAUGCCAAAACUACUGUCACAAUUCCAAAAUCCAGUACAGAUACUACUAAGUCAUUCAACACAAUCAAAAACAUUGAAGCUUGUGGCAUUGAAAUUGUCAAACUUGGAAAGUAGUUAAAAUAUUUUCUGACAAAACAGCAGAGAUUAUUACAAAUACUAGACAAAAUGACAGUUUAUGAUUUAAAACUCAAAACAUGUGACAGGUGGUGUAAAGAAUACAUAAUUAAUUAUAAACUACCUCAACUAUACUAGAAGUAGCCGAAUUUUGUAAUUUUUUUGUCUGUAAGAAAAUGGAAAACAUGGACGAUAUCUGGUUAUAAGUCUAAAGCAUUACUUCAUAAGAAUGAAACGACUCGGAAUUUCAAAAGGUUUUGAAUUGCACAUGUCGUAAACGAUAAAAAAUAUUUUGAUAAAGAUUCACCCAUACGUCAGAUGACUCCUAACUUGAUUUAUUAUAUAAGCAGUUUGACAGGUAUGUAAAAUGUAUUAUUCACCUUGCUGUACUAAACAUAUAUUUAUAUAAACAGCUGCCUGACGUUUUUUGAUCGAUCAGAACCUACAACGUUAUUGACUGUUCAAAGACUUUGGCCCAAAUUUUAAAGGUUUAUAUGAAAGCAUUUUCUACUUUAUUUAUUGACAAGCAAUAUCAGAGCAUAUGUAAAUUGGAUUUUAAAAAGCAAUUAUUCAAUAAAAAGGACAAAGUUUGUAUUCAGAUAGCUGUUAUCAAAAAAUUUGCUUCUGUAACCAUGUAAAACAAAACAUUUUAAUAUGAAAAUAAACUCUCAAAAAAUAGUUUUGAUUUCGAACUUAAAAUUAUUUUAGGUCAAGGAAUGUAUCUCUCUCGUGCAUAGCUCGGAUUCCUUUUCCGGGUUUAGGUUUUAAGUUUUAUCAGCUCUUCUGCGUUUGGAUUCGGUUUUGGAGUUUCAAAUAUUUUGGUCUCAGGCAUCACUGGAGAGAUACUCACUUCCAAAAAUCGGGUUUGGUGCAAUGAAACGGGUACCGUUUCUGAUAAAAGAGAUUUUAAGUAUGGUUUUGUUAAAUCACCAAUGAAUUUCUGGUUUGAGUUUAAUUUUGUUCAACCUUUUGAUAUUUUUUAAUAAUUUUACAAAAAUAAAAAGUCAUUGAAAAGAAUUUUAGGAAAGAAUGUCGCUGCAGAAUAAUGCAUAACAUAAUUCUUAUUUUUCUCAGAUGAAUCAGCAGAUUUAAAUAAAAAAUUUCAAAAUCCAUUAAAAAAGAAAUCAUGAACAUGAAAAUCAAGUAAUCUAAUGAUGUGCUGGCGGAAUUUCAGAUAUGGGCAUUUAUAAAAGUGAACUUUAUUGAUAUUUUAAGGACACUAUUCCGCAUCGAUCAAACCAAAACUUAAAAGGGCAUUUGCUGCUUCUCCGAUACAAUAAUACACGACGGGUGCCACAUGUGGAGCAGGAUCUGCUUACCCUUCCGGAGCACCUGAGAUCACUCCCUAGUUUUUGGUGGGGUUCGUGUUGUUUAUUCUUUAGUUUUCUAUGUUGUGUCAUGUGUACUAUUGUUUUUCUGUUUGUCUUUUUUCAUUUUUAGCCAUGGCGUUGUCAGUUUGUUUUAGAUUUAUGAGUUUGACUGUCCCUUUGGUAUCUUUCGUCCCUCUUUUAAUAAAAGACAAUGACUGAUUUGCCUGUAGUAUUUGACACUUGAGGCAAAACAUGAAUUAAAGUUUGUAUGUUUGACUUAAAAUGGAAUUUUACACAUGAUAAUUGGUAAAUUUAAAAAUGGACAACAACCACACUUAAAAGGAUAUUUUUCUUCACAUGAAAAGAAACAUAGCCUUAUCACAGCUCUUUUAAAAACAUAGAAAGUUAAAAGUAUAAGCAGACUAAUUCGCUCAAAGCUGCAGAUGCAUACAUACACAAAAGACGUAUUCUGCAGACAAACAUUGUCUUACCUUGUUUGGCCAAUCCAUUUGUGUUUAUCCCCACCCAUACACACCAGGUGUACUAUAUUCAUUUGUAUAAAUGUUUCAUAUAUUCUACUGACAAUUGUAUACUAUACAAUACUUGUGUACUGACAAAGGUAUACUUUAUUCAUAUAGUGUAUUGACAAAGUAUCAUGUAUUUAUAUAUUCUACUUACAAAUGUAUAGUAUAUUCGUAUAAUGUAUUGACAAAUGUAUACGAUAUUCAUGUUUUUUUUCUGUCAACGGUGUACUUUGUGCGUAUAGUGUACUGACAAAAGGUAUACAGUCAGGAAUAUGGCCAUUGUUACAUUAUAGUUCGUUUCUGUGUGUAUUACAUUAUAACGUUGUGUCGUUUGUUUUCUCUUAUUUUUGAGUGUAAAUUCACAUUGCGAUAAGACGUGUCACGGUACUUGUCUAUCCCAAAUUCAUGUAUUUGGUUUUGAUGUUAAAUAUAUAUGUUAUAUUUGUUAUUCUCGUGGGAUUUUGUCUAUGUGUGUUACAUUUUAGUGUUAUGUCGUUGUUCUCCUCUUAUAUUUAAUGCGUUUCCCUCGGUUUUAGCUUGUUACCCCGAUUUUGUUUUUUGUCCAUGGAUUUAUGAGUUUUGAACAGCGGUAUACUACUGUUGCCUUUAUAUAUACUUUCAUGACUUCUGACAAUGUUAAAGAGAUGAGAGUACUGACAAAAAUUAUUCUAUAUCAAUAUAGUGUACUGACAAAUCUUUACGAUAUUCAUAUAUAUAUAAUAUUCUACUGACAUUGAAUACUACCAAAAUUUGAUUACUUUUGAUCUAGUUAUUUGAAUAUAACUUUAAAACUGACAAACAUCAUUUCUAAUUAUGGAUGUCACGCGUGUUUGUCGUGCAUUAAGAGAUAUAAUAAAUUUUGUCUGGGGAUUUAUCGUCGUCAUUGUUAACAGUUUUCAGAAUUAUAUGCAAAAAAUCAAUUAAGUUUGUAAAAAGAAUUCUUUAGUUUUCCCCAAAAUUUAUAAAGCUAGAUCGAAUGCAACUGUGAGGUUGAUCUUGGGAUAUUCCUUCUUUAUUGUAUUUAACAGUUGCGGAUUUCAAGUAGUAUAUCUAUAAAUUGACAAACAAUAUCUAAAAACGAAGUAAACACAUAAAGUAUAACUCUAAUAUAAUUUAAUUAACACAGUUGGUACUGGUCGAUGAAGAAAGAAAGGGCCAUUUGAUAAUCAAUAUCGUUUAUUUGAAUAAAUACUAAUUUAUAUAAUAAACAGAUAUAGUACGGCCAAAGAAUUGUUUUUUUUUCAAUGUUCCGAUUUGCGUCGAAGUGAUAUAAUGCUAUAAGACCUGACACGCUGCAAAUUGCAGGAUGAGAUAUUUUCUUCUGUUUUUCACCUAUGCUGUCUUUACAGGUACGUAGGACGCAUCGAUUUAUUUCGGUAUCAUAAACACUAAAAGACAUUACGCCUAAAUGUUAUAACUAAUUUUUCAAUAUUGCUGACCAGAAAGAGAAAUAAAUCAAAAUUACCAAAUCCUUUAAAAACGUAUGUGAUAUAUAUUCAAGUUAGAGUGGGGUGCUCAUUUUCGCCGGGGACACAAUUUCGCCGUUUAAGGUUUUGAGGUGGAAAAACUUCAAAGGAUGGCUGAAAAGGAAGAAAUGUACCCGUAAAUUCCCGUAAAUUAUAUUUUUAUAACAAAUAUGAUAUUUUUUUAAACUGAGACAAUAUUGCGGCUCCUACCGAAAAUGACCGAAAAACGGACAACGAUUUUUGGACAAUUUCCUGAAUAAAAAACACGAUUUCAAAGAAGUAUUUCUAAGAAAUAUUUGACUGAAUGCCCUAAUUUUGAAUUCUUUAUACCUUUGAAAUGUCUGCUAUUCAUCUAUAAUGCAAUUGAUUUGAUAAAAGCUGCGGUUAUUUGGUUUUAAAUAGAUGUGUAAAAACGGCGAAUAUGUGUCCCCAUUGACAAAACAUCCGGAAAUUUCAAACACCCUUUAAUCUUACAUUUUUCAGAUGAUUUUCUUAAAACAAACCGGUUUUCAAGCUUAAGUAUAUUUUGCAUUUGAAAUUAUCUUCAUAUAGAAAUAUCAGUAUACUUCAAAAACAUUUAGACCUGAACAUAAACUGUAGAAAACAUGGAAAGAUGUGGCGAAAAUGAGCACCCCACUCUAUCCCGUGAAGAAGAACGCAAACAGAAAUUACGUCUUAAAUUCUAAAAGGUCUUUCAGUUGAACACAUUCGUCAUUGCUUUCAUGGUGAAAUCUUUUUUUCUCAGCGAUAUAGUAUUCAUUCAAAUAUAUAUGUAUUGUUUUGUAUUCUCGAAAUGUAAAAUUGUCUUCCGAAAGCACAUAUUGGUAUCUUAUAAAUGUGGUCUAACGAGUGUAUUACUUGAAAGGAUAUCAUAAAUAAUAGAAUGAAGGUUUGGGUUAGAAUGACACGGUUUUAUUUUCAAUCACGUUAUUGUAAAUGACAGUGAAUUAUAUAUUGAUAUAUUUUAAUGGGCGGAUGGUGCUAUUUUGUCUAAUACAACACAUCGUACAUUAAUGUCAGUUUAAGAAUAACAAAAUUGUGCUACUUUCUGCUGUUUAAAAAAUAUAUAUGUUAAGAUAGUCCUUAAAAAAACCACAUCAUAAAAACGGUGAUGUAGUUUAUAACAGAAAAGCAUGUACAUCAUACUCGAAAACCCUUUUCAGAAAGUAUGAAUAUAUAUAUCUUUGAUAUCUUUAUUAAAAUGCUUUUUGAAAAAUACUUUAAAUUUGCAAUGGUAUUUGUAUAAAAUAAGAUUUCGAAAAAGAUAUUUAUAUAUCUUUCUUAUCUGUAUAAAAGAGCUUCUUGAAAAUUAUCUACAUAUCUUUGAGAUUUGUAUAAAAUUGAAUACAUAUUUGAAAAAAGGCUAUAUAUAUCGUUCAUAAAAUACGUUUUGAAAAAUAUCUAUUUAUUGUUAAUAACUAUUUUUAUUCUACAACAAAUUUCACUUGUUAGAAUCGUUAAUAUAUGUAUACAUGUUUAUAUUUUUUUCGAAAUUUAAGGACUAAUUUUAUUAAAGGUUUAAUGAUUUUUAUUAAUAAAUCCUGUAUAAAGAUAUGAACGAAAAAAAAAUCAGACAGACAAAUAUAACUUUGAACAAAAUGCCGUUAAAUAAAAUAACUUGCAUAUGAAAAUAAAAAUAUUUGUGUUGCAAGGAGUAAAUGGAGUACCGAAAUUUCUCUUUUGUUUGGCUUUUUUUAAAUGAUAUUCGCAAAUUACACAUUAAAACAAUGAAAAGCGAUUCAAAUUUGAGAAAAUUUUCAUUUCAUCCUAGCUUAUUUGUGCUAUGAAUAUGAAAUUUAUUAUUUAUAUUUUUAAGUAAUUUCUAACAAUUGGUUUUGACGAAAAAGUCAGGACUUUACUUAAAAGCAAAUAGUUUGUGCAGUUAAUAAAGGUGUCCAAGUUGAGUGAAAAAUGUUUUACCAAAUGAUAAUUAGUAUUCAGUUUUUGGAAAACUGUACAAUGUAUAAUUGCAUAUACUUAUUAUCAUCUGAAUUGAUUAUAUCAUAUCCCCUAUCAUAUUUCUUAAAACAAUAUUUAUAGGUUCCUAUAGUAAAAAAUAUAAAGACAACAAUACUUUACCGCUGUUCAAUAGUCAUAAAUCGAUUACGCGAAAAACAAAGCCGGUAACAAUUUAAAACCGAGGAAAACAACGGAACAACAGAAACACUAAGCUGCAACAAAACCAAACGCCAACAUACAUAGAAUGUGUGCGUGUUUGCAGUUGAUUAUCAUUUCUUAAAGUAACCGAGUGCGGGUGAUAUCUCAGUACAUUAUUAGAUGUUCGAACUUUUUAAACAAUUUAAGAUGCAUUAACUCGAUAGCAUUUCAUGUAUAUUGAAGUCUUCACGCCAUAUAAUAAACCUCCAAAAAAUGCCGAUGGUCAUAUAACCCGAUAUAAAUAUAAACACAGAAAUAAACAGAUUGCGAUUUCGUGCAAUUCGGUUUUUCUAGGCCUGUUUGAUUUCAUAUUUGAAGUAAAACACACACGUUAAUAUAAGUUUUUACAUGUAUAGGAAUGAGUUUUUCCAGAUCGAAUCAGUCGAAAUGGUUUAUCCUUGUUUCACUUCCAAUGUUGACAUCUGUUCCAUUUAAUAAAUGAACACGCCUAGUUUGUGUCUUAUCAAUCUCUAUGGAUCAAUUAAAGUUAACAUGACUUAUACGGAUUUAAUGAGUCAAAUUAUUCACUUACAAGUCAAUAGUUCAUGAGAGAUGCUUCUUUGCUUAUGUUAUAAUAAUAAUAAUAAUAAUAAUAAUAAUAAUAAUAAUAAUAAUAAUAAUAAUAAUAAUAAUAAUAAUAAUGAUAAAUCCGGGUUACAAACUAAAACUGAGGAAAACGUACCAAAUAUUAGAGGAAAACUACGACACAACAGAUACACAACAUUAAAAUGUAACACACACAGAAACGACCUAUAAUAUAACAAUGACACAUUAAGAAAAAAAUGGUGGGUUGAAACGGUUUUGUGGCAUGCCAAACCUCUCGCUUUUAUGGCAAUGUUAAAUAUAACAUUGAAAUGACAACAUUACAUGACAAGACUACAAUACAAAUAAAUGGGAGAACAUAUAGGACAGAGACACACACGAAUAAGAGCUAACAAAAGGUAUGAGGUUUAAAAUCUAAUACGCCAGACGUGCGUUUCGUCCACACAAGACUAAACAGUGACGCUCAGAUGAAAAAAGUUCGAAAGCCAAAACAAGUACAAAGUUGAAGAGCACUGAGGACCAGAUGUAUAUAUGUACAAAAAUAUAACAAAAAUAAUACACCUGAAUUAUACAUUGUGGUUUAACUUAUAAACUUCACACUGUUAAAAAAAUAUAAUGACCUGUAAGAAUAUUUGAAUGCAGUUAUACAGUUUUAAUUUUUUUAAUUUCGAUGGAUAGUGAAUUCCACACUUUUGGACCACUAAAAGAAAAACUUUAUUUUUUUAAUUCUGUAAAUGGUUUAGGGACAAUGAGAAUACCUGAUGGUGAAAGUCAAGUACUGUACGAUUGUUUACUAUGAAUGAGCUUAAUAGAUAUUUUGGUGGCAGUUCAUGUUUAUCGUGUUCGUUUAAAAUAAUCCAAGCUGCCUUUUUGCAAUUUUUGUAAGAUGUCAUUUAAAAACUUGUGACAGUUUCCCCAUACUAAACAACACUUUUCCAAAUGUGGAAGGAUAAGAGUGAAACCAAAAUGGCUGUUAUAGUGAAUUUUUUUUCACUGUUUCACUUUCAUUAAUGAUUGAAAAAAAUAAAUAAAUCAUCGUUUAUUUUUUCACAUGUCGUAGCUAAUGCCCCUUUAAUAUAAGCCAUGGAAUGCGUAACGUUAGUAUUCCUCUGCUUUAAAUCUACUUAGAAUAUUGUUAGACGUUAUCCAGCCUGUAUGGUAAAAUAUUUCAACUAUUUUGAUUCACUGAUUAUUCUUUGAAUUAAAAAUACUUUAUUUUGAGUGAUUUUGAUGUGUACAAUGAACUUGUGAUCAUAGAAGAUUGAUAAAACACACUAUGUAGUUAUUUGUUUCUAAAAUUCACGCUAUAAUACUAAUUUUUAUUCUUUUAUUGUAAGGUAAACUUUUUGUUUAUAGCAUAUACAUCAUUAUGUGGAAAGUACCAUUAUAAUAAAUAAUAAUCAAUAAGAAAAUGAUUAAAUCAAGGGUUUUGAUUACAUCAUCCAAUCUCCAAUUCCAAAUCCAUAGAACUGUAUCCUGUUGGUACGUCAAUUUUGUUCUUAUGAUGUAAAAUGAUAAUAGGUUCAACGACUUCGUAUAUUCAGAGUGGUCAUUUAGUUGAAAAAAAAAUACCACUAAACGGCGAAAUAAUCGUAACAUCAUAGCAUUGUAGGCCGUAACACGUCAAUUAUUUAACACUUCUUCACUUCUUACGGAGUCGGUGACCAUAUAAUUAUUUUAUAUCAUUAAAGCGGAAAUUAAUGUAUCAGCAACAAAUAUACAACAAUCUAUGGAUUUGAAAUUAUAGAUUGGAUGAUUUAAUGUCUAAUGUAAUAUCGUUAUUUGCGAAUUUUUAUGUUCUUUCCAUAUACACAUAUUCACCUAUUUCGAAAUUAUUCGAUCGUUCAUAUUUCAGAAAUUAAAAAAGAUGAAUGCAUUAUUUUUCCGAUUUUUCAGUAAUGCCAAAGUUGUAUGCAAUAUGCAAAGUUUGACUAAAAUCUGUGACAUAGUCCAUUUACUGUUCCUCGACUUUAAAAGAGGGGCAACAGAUACCAAAGGGACAGUCAAACUCUUAGAUAAAAAAUAAGCAGACAACGCCAUGGCUAAAAAAAUGACAAACAGACAAAUAAUAGUACAUCAGACACAACAUAGACAACUAAAGACUAAGCAAAACGAACCACACCAAAAACUAGGGUGAUCCCAGGUGCUCCGGAAGGGUAAACAGAUCCUGCUCCAAAUGUGGCACCCAUCGUGUUGCUUAUGUUAUUACAAAUCAGGUAAAUAGUCUAAUUCGGUAGGUCACAUUCGUGAAAAGGGAAGGAGAUAGUAGUUACAACUUAAGAAACAUAUCCGAAAUCAUCUGUGAAAUGGGUAUUUCAUAACGGUAAACUAACUCGUGAUGGCGUCCGUAAAAUUUACGAAGGGAUGAUUUCAACUUCAACAUUUGAAACUCUUGGUUUACGCCCAGGAGUAUAUUACCUUAGCCGUAUUUGGCACAACUUUUAGGAAUUUUUGGGUCCUCAUUGCUCUUCAACUUUGUAUUGUUUUGGCAUUUUAACUGUUUUGAUCUGAGCGUCAUCUGAUGAGUCUUAUGUAGACGAAACGCGCGUCUGGCGUAUUAAAUUAUAAUCCUGGUACCUUUGAUAACUAUUUACACCACUGGGUCGAUGCCACUGCUGGUGGACGUUUCGUCCCCGAGGGUAUCACCAGCCCAGUAGUCAGCACUUCGGUGUUGACAUGAAUAUCAAUUUUAUGGUCAUUUCUAUAAAUUUCCUGUUUACAAAACUUUUAAUUUUCGAAAACUAAGGAUUUUCUUACGCCCAGGAGUAGAUUACCUUAGCCGUAUUUGGCACAACUUUUAGGAAUUUUUGGGUCCUCAUUGCUCUUCAACUUUGUAUUUGUUUGGCAUUUUAACUGUUUUGAUCUGAGCGUCACUGAUGAGUCUUAUGUAGACGAAACGCGCGUCUGGCGUAUUAAAUUAUAAUCCUGGUACCUUUGAUAACUAUUUAAUAGCUUCCUUGUGAGCAGCAGUCCUCUAUCAAGGAAAUCGUGAUAGGAAAUAGAAACCCGGGAGUAUCGUAUCAAUUGGAAGAAAUCAUCUUUUUGUUGUAUUUUUUUUUCAACCGAGACUAGAUUCUAAUAACUGAUAAAGCACAUGAUGAUGCCAAUAAACCAGGUUUAACCCACCAUUUUUUCUUAAAAUGUCCUGUACCAAGUCAGGAAAAUGACCAUAGUUAUAUGAUAGUUCGUUUCUGUGCGUGUUACAUUUCAAUGUUGCGUUUCUGUUGUGUCGUAGUUCUCCUCUUAUAUUUGAUGUGUUUGUAACCCGGAUUUGUUUUUCUCUCAAUCGAUUUAUAAAUUUCGAACAGCGGUAUACUACUGUUGCCUUUACUUUAAUAACACUCAAUAUAAUGUUGUGCUGUGCAAUUUGUAUUUAAAAUUAACACCCAAUAAAAGUUGUAAGAAUGCAUUAUUUUCUAUAUAAAUAUUUUGGGUAUGUGUUAAUAUAACGGUGUAAAUAUAUGUUUAUAGACUUUAAUGUAAGUUUGACUUAUACUUUGACUGAUAUCGAUAUUAAAUUUGCUUUUGCAGUACCUUUUCUAUAUUGUUGAAGCGCUAAGGGACAUUGUUCACAACCAGUAGUAAAAUAAAAUAUUUAAAGUAGGGGGAAAAAAGAAGAGAAAAAACCUUUUUACCUGUCCUUGAGAGAAAAUAAGAAAAAGCCUCUUAUGGGUUAGGAUAAUUUUAAAUUGCCAGUCUAUAGGGUACUCAAGGGACACAGAUUAUAAUGUUACAGAUUAAAAAAUAAAACUUAAUAAUUUCAAAGUCUACUUAAUAAUACUAAAUAUUAAAAACAACUUUAACACGGAUAUUGGAGACUUUAAAUGUAAACGACUUCACACGAAAAUCUAUGAUAAACGGGACGAUUUCAACUUCCCAAUUAUCAAUUUUCCCAUUUCUCAGCAGUACAUACCCUCUGCCCUUCGUAUGGUGUUUACAUAUCACAAUUGAUACGUUAUUCACGUGCUUGUUCACACUAUACGGACUUCAUAUACAGGAGUGUGCUCCUUACGCAGAAACUGCUCCAACAAAGUUAUGAGGAGGACAGAUUAAAAUUGACACUCCGUAAAUUUUAUGGACACCAUCAACGAUUUGGUGGAUCAUACGAUGUUUCGUUGACCAAACUAGCUAAGGACAUUUUUACCACAUGUAGAUGUGUGUUUUGUCAUACAUGUCGUCUAAUCUUAAUUACCAAACGUGACUUAUUCCCGAUUGUGACUGUUUUGCCGAGUGUGAACUCGCAUUACUAUAAGACGUGGUAUGGUACUUAUACAUCCCAAAUUCAUGUAUUUAGUUUAAUGUUUAAUGUUAUAUUUGUAAUUCUCAUCGGAUUUUGUCAAAUGUGUUUGACGUCUUUUCUAUUAUAUUUAUGUGUUAUGGUAAAGAAAAUUAAUCACCGCCUUCAUUUAUCAGAUUUGAUUUCGUUCAAAGUAAUCAGUACGAUAUUUACGUUUGAAGUUAGAUUCAUACAACCUGACAUAGUUUUAUAAUAUAGUUAAUUGCUACCCGUCAGUUUUAUAUUAAUAGAAUUAAAAAAUGUGCUUUGUUAUUAAUGCAAUAUCAGUAUUUAGUUCAAAUAUAUAAAUCUUAAAUUAAUCCAUUUAUUCUAAUGACGUCAUUUUUUCGUCAUUUUUCAUUUUUUGAUGCUCUGUUUUACUAAUUCUAAUGACGUCAUUUUUUCGUCAUUUUUCAGUUUCAAAUAGGACGUCACUUGGCGUAGAGGUUUAAACGUAUCGGAUGUGUCUACUUUUGUGUUCAAAUGUCUGGUUAUGUAAAUGUAUUUCAGUUGUUUCCUGUAAUUAGUUAAUACUUCAGCUUUAUCAUGUACAUCUUUUGAAUAUUCACUUUUAUUAAUUUACUGUUUCAAAAGUAUAAAUUACUCUAAAUUAUAGGGAUUUUCUGGUAACUUAACGGAAAACCUUGCCGUUUUUGGCACAAACCUUUUGAUCUUUUGGUCCUCGAUGCUGUUCAACUUUGUACUCGUUUCGGCUUAAAAGGAGAUUCUUUAUUUAUCUAAUUUGCUUGUCUAUUAAAAAUAAACUAUCGAACAAACAGUUACUCUUCGUGUACGUAAAUUCGAUUCCUAUAUAACUGUUUAUGUCUCAGUCAAAAAUUUAUGAUACUGUACUUUUGAAUUUGAAUUUAAAUUUUACCACUAUUACCAAAUGGGAAAUGCAUCAUUAUGAGAUUUGAAUAUGAUUUUUUUUUUUUUCCAACAUGCAUAUUUUUAUUUCUUAAACUUUUAACCGAGUGUGAGCAUAAUAUCUCCUCUAAGUGUAUUUAUUGUAUUACAUAUUGAAUUCAUCUCGCAACAUAUAUAUUUUUUGUCACUGAUCACAACAUUUGGAAAUUUAAUCUGCAAUAUUAUAAGCCAUCAGAUGAGAAUGUUAGAUAUUCAUUUGUUUUCAAGUGUGAUGAGUCUUUCAUAGGCGAAAAGCGCGCCUGUUGUGAAAAAAAUAUAAACCUGGUAUCUAUAGUGAGUUUAUUAGAACCAAUAUCAUCCUUUUUUGUAUUUCUUUUCUUAAUUUUAGGUUCCUAUGUGUUUUCCUGGGCAGUAUAUAACGGACACGAGUUAAUAAAACUGUCACAACAACAUGGAUGGGAUGCUGGAUACUCUGCAUGUAACGAUAACUUUAGUAUCAUGGCCUCUCCGUUAGAUACAACGGAAAUAGAGGCAGUGACCCAAUUAACAUUGGAAACAUCACCAAUUGCAAGUAAGAAAAUUCAACACACAAUUUAAAUAUUUAGAUUUGCAAAAGCUGGGAGUUUUGUGUCUUAUCUCUUUUAUCUUUCUAUAGUUUUUCAUUGAUUGUUUCGGUAUCUCAUUAUUUCUCUGUAUUUAUUAUUUCAGUAAGUGUGAUAAAAAAUCAAAACAUAUGACAAAAAGACCCGAAAACACACACACACAGAAAUUGUUUCACAUGGACAAAUUCAAACAGGACAAGGCUAUAGAAAUUUCUUGAAAAUAAUUUUUGCUUAUAACUUAUCAUAAUAAAGUUAAACAAACACGUUUAAUAAGGAUUGAAGGAACAUCAUCGUUUAUUGUAGCUCACGUAUAGUGACACAUACAAAUGUAAAAUAAUGAUUCAACUUUCUUUCACCAGUACCGGAGAUUAGCUUCUGGACAGGAUUCAAACGUGACCCGUCAUUAUCAGAUGAAUGGAUAGGAAAUCUUUAUCAUGCGUCAAAUGUUUCUAUCAACUGGAAGAGUGGUUAUACCGGGAUGGAAACAGGAGAUUGUCUUGCUAUGGAAGUGAUGCCAUUCAGUAUAACAUUCUACCCAGAAAUCUGUACAACUCUUCUUCAUGUCAUGUGUCACAAAUUUCAAGGUAACUGAAAUCAGUGGCAUCUAAUACAAUAUAUAUAUAUUAUAUGUCUCUGCUGGAAUAAAUCAAAUUAUCUUUAUCGAUUUUAAAGUGUAUUCUUAUAUUACAGUCAAAACUUUGUCAGGUCGAAUUUUAAAUGAGGUAAACGGUAAUGGACUUUUGCAAUUUUUGCUCACAACUUGAAGAUGAUUAACUUUAACUGAAAAUUAUUUAAAUUUUCAUAUCCUUAGAUAAGAUGUAUACGUUUUAGCAGUGUAAAAAGCUGUAGCGUACAUGUCAAUGACGCUUCACGACCAAGAAAAACAUCUAUAGGUCUUCGACCAUAUACAUGUGUUAAAGCAAUCUCUAAAUCGCCUAUUAUAAUAGUCUAAAUUGUCCCAAGUCUAUAAAAAGCACAAAAAGCUCUAAAUUGCUUCUUCUAUAUUUUCUAGAAAGCUCAUGACAAGCUCUACCUCGCCCCUAUGCUAGAAAGUUAUGAACAGGCUCUAAAACGCCCAUAUUCUAGAAGGAUAAUGGCAAGCUCUAAAUCGUCAUAAUACUAGAAUGAUAAUGACAAACUCUAAAUCGCCCUUUUGCCAAAAAUGAUGUGUACACGUAAACCAUUAAUAAUCCAAGAGCUGCCAUCAAUACCAAAUUCCUAAUUGACAAAACAUUAAGACAGAAGUCAACCACUGACAUGGUUUGUGACAAUGUGCAGCUAGGUGAGUUUUAUAUGUGACUGACAAAGUCAGGAACCUCGUCAGAAGUUGUCUUAUGUCAUAUUUGAAUUAUUUUAUUUUGAGAAUUUGGUGGUGGUGGUAGACCUAUGAUUGUUUCUGUUUGAUUCAUCCACACAUUUUAUAGAGAGGGUAAGAGCUUGAAAAAUUGAACAUAACUGCAUAUAGUUUACUGAUGUAAGAUGCCAUCUACAGUUAUCUUUUGUGUAUUCUGAAGUGUUUUUUGUAGUUACGUAUCCUGUUGAGGAGCAAACAGUGAUGUUAUUGAACCCACCACAUAUUUAUGGUGAAAUCAACAAUACGACCGCAGAUGACUGUACCAGACUUUGUGCUGUGGAUCUAAGCUGUACUGGAUAUAGUCACGACGCCGGGAUAUGCUACAUUUACAACGAAGCCAGUUUUGUCAAUGGGUCCGCUCCAAAAAUAUCCACACCGUUCCCUACAGUAUCAUUGACAGACACAAAUGGGCUUUCUACACAGUGGACAUUUACACAGGGAACUUUCACUCAGUGUACACCAACUUGUGGUAUUGUUGACUGUUUGUGCAACGAUACUUUUUGCGAGUUUGAUUCGUGUAGCUUACCAGGCGGUGUUUCGAACUGCACCUUCACCAAUUGUUCUGAUAUCAGUGUAUGUUUGCCAUUUGAUAAUACCACAUGCACCCUUAAUGGUACAAAUAUGUACAUAAACUGUACAGUUUGUGAUGCCACCACCAGUCAGCUUCCAACUGAAUUCACAACUCAACAUACAACUGAAAUAACGAGUUUCCCUACAACAGUAAUAACAACAGAAGUAACAGUUACAGCUUACACAUAUUUUACUAUAAAUGGUAUGAUUAUAACUUUUAAUCCGAUUGCGAGUGAGGUUUUAAAUAUAGAUUUAUAAAGAGAAUGGUGAUAAAACAAGUAAACAUCUUAUUUUGAUAAUGAAAAUUACAAGCAAAAACCACAGGUUGUGUUUUACUAUGGCAAGCCGUUCUCGUCACAACUAUGUUUAAACCCUUUUUUCGAAAAAAAAUACACACUGAGAAUUAAAAACCUAAAAUAACACAUUGAGAAAUCGAAAUUACACACUGAGAUUUGAAAAAAAAACCACACACACUGAGAAUUCAAAAUUACACACUGAGAUUUUAAAAAGACACACUGAGAUGAAAUAAAUUGAAAAACACACACUGAGAAUUGUUGAAUUACACACUGAGAUUUCAAAAAUACGCACUGAGAUUAAUAUGCAAAUUACUAAUGAAUAUUCAUGAGAUGAAUAAUUCAACAGAUUUAUAUCUUGAUCUCAAGAACUCUUGUCAUUAUAAUGAAAUGCGAUUCCUUCAACCAACAUUCGUAAUAAAUUUCAAGACUUAACAUCGCUCAUAUUCAUAAGUUUGUUGCCUAUAAUUCAGAUCAUUACUACCAGUAAUUAAACAUGUGUCCCUUUUCAAAGUCUUCCAACUGUUUCCCUGAUUACGUUUAUAUGCUAUAAUAGACACUUGAGUAAAAAUUUCACUGCAUUCUUUUGCAGAUUGUUCCAAUGUUUUCUUAUAAUUUUAAUAAAGUUUUUCACCAUUUGGUUAUAUUUUGUAAUAAGAGUAAGUAGGUAUUUUUCUUGUUCUUGUAUUUCUAAAGGUUUUUUUAAUAAUAAUUUGGAAACAAAUUGAAGGACUAACGAGUUUUGUCCCCUUGUUGUUUUAAGCUUGUAAUAGAUUCAGAUUAAGUAUGCUAAUUAGAUAUGUGCGCAUAAAAAGUCAGUGUGUAAUUUUAAAGUCUCAGUGUGUAAUUUAAAAUUCUCAGUGUGUAAUUUCAAAUUUCAAUUUUCAAAUUCUCAGUGUGUGUUUUCAGUUUAUUUAUUCUCAGUGUGUCUUUUUGAAAUCUCAGUGUGUAAUUUUCAAUUUUCAGUGUGUAAUUUUCAAUUCUCAGUGUGUAAUUCCCAAUUCUCAAUGUGUGUUUUGAAGUUUUUAAAUCUCAGUGUGCUUUGUUGUAAUUCUCAGCGUGUAAAUUUUUCGAAAAAUGGUUUAAACAUAGUUUUGACGAGAAUGGCUUGCCAUAUUUUACCUUCUGUUCCAAAUAUUUUACCACAGGUUUUGAAUCACUUUAUGUUUAAGAUAUUUUUCCAGUGAUUGUGUGUAAUAGUAUGUUCCAAAUAUGUAAUAACAGGUUGUGUAGUACCAUAUGUUCCAAAUGAAGGCAGUUUAAAAGAUUUAAGUAAUACCACAUACAAUUCUACAUGUGGAAUGAAGUGCAGUCGGGAUUAUGAACCAAUCCUACAAGAAAACGACACCAUGGUGUGUGGAUACGAUAGAAGAUGGAGCCUAGCUCCAGCCUGUGUAACAUAUGGUAAGUAAGGCAUAUGAUCAUAAUUUCACAAUAAGCAUAACAGGGUAAUAUAAAAUAAGGAGAAGUGUUAAUCGUAUCAUUACCAACAAUCGAGAUUUGAACAUAUAACUGGUCACCGUGCAUCUAUUAUACACAAUAUAAAAGUAUUGUGUAGCCCCAUCCCCAUCCUCAGUACCAAAAACCGUCUCAUUACACACUACUUGUAAAGCUCACUUCGAAAAAAAAAAUCAAAUUGUGACUUGAAAAAGGCGGAAAAUACCAAAAAGAGGCAGAUAUAACACAUUCAAAAUGAAGAAAAGCUGAUUAUUGGUAAAUAUCUGUUCUGAUACAUGUACGAAGGUUGACAGUUCUGUGUUGCAUUACCAGAUAGUGGGUAGACAAUAACACACACUUGAAACAUAGAGAUUGAGUUUACAUCUCUUUCAUUUUCGUUAGCGAGGGUUAAGAUCCACUAGAGAUGAGGGGAAUGGAUCGUAACCCUUGGCUAGCGAAGAUGCAUCUCUUUGAAAAUCUUGUUUCAAAAUUCUAUUCAAAAUAAAGGCAUCCAUAUUAACGUUUUGUUUGUGUUAAACACGACUUGCGUUUUGAAAUGCAGAUUGACAUGACGGAAAUAAACUAAUUAAAGCCGAAGAGUGCUUGAUUAAAAAACUUUAGCCCCUCCCUUGCUGAAUCCAUUGUCCAUAUAGUCAAGUUGUUUGCCAUUGCAUGUAUCCUCCCCCGUUUCAUUAUGUUUUACACGGUGGAUAUGUCUCAUAGGUUUCCUUCCUACUCCAAAGUAGAGUCGUAAUUUAGUUCCUUCUUAUGAAGAUUAGUAUUGGGUAUGACUUCUUUGCUAUCGCUUAUAUGUCACAAUGUGGUCAGUUUAAGAUUCUCUAAUUUUUUCGACCUAGGAAUGCCAAAGUUAUAUUUUUUCGAGAACAUGACGUUUUGUGCAUUUACAAUUUAAAAUCUAUGGCUUUUGUUUUAAUAUCGCAUCCCUAGUCAUUUGACCUUACUUCGUUCUUGAUUGGUUGUAAUUAUAUACAGCUUUUUUUGUCUUGAUAAUUUUGCCCGGUCAUUCAGAGUGGGCAUUUGUAGAGUCUGACGAGAGGAAGUACUUAUUAGCAUUAAUCUAUUCUUCAUCAUAGUUUCAAGUCUACAACUUUUAUUUUCAUCUAUGUCAAGAACACGUAGAAUAGAAGAAAUUGGAAACACAAGGAAUGUGUCUAAGAGGCAACAAUCCGACCUGGAAAGCAGAAAGCAACCCAAGGAUAGGUCUACAACGCAGCAAAAAAAAUCCCGCCUCGGGCUUUCGCUUGUCCCCCAAACAAUAAUGUAUACUAGUUCAGCGAGAUGGACGUUACGCUAAAACUCCGAAACAUACAAAUGAACAUACAAAUGCACAAAACCAACAAUGGCUAAAGCUUCCCGACUAUGGACAUGCCGCGGCAAAAUGCGGCGUGGUUAACAUGUUUUGUGAUAUCUCAAAUCUUUCCCUAUAUAUACCUUUUGCCAAUGUGUAUUUUAAGUCAGUUGUCAGAAUGACGGCAUCACUUUCUUUUCAAGUGAACUUAAAUUGAAUAAUUUUGUUAAAUGAUCUUUUAUGUUGUUUAAAAGAUUCGUGUGACCAGGAACAUACACAUUGACAGAUAUACUGUUCCCAGGCGUGACUAAGAACUAUGAUUGAAAACUAGCUAGACUAAUCGAGCUUUUCUUACAUCCUAACUUUAAUGUCAACACCUAUGAGCAGGGAUCUUGAACUGUACUAUAUUUAUGAUUUUUAAGGCGAAAAAAAAACCUGUCAAAAUAUGUUCAAUUUGGGUACCAUCACGUCAAGUAUACAUGUAUUUAACCUGUUCGAAUGUGACAUCGCAUAUAUAGGGGAUACAAAAAACUGUGAAUGAUGGAUAGAGGGGGCAAAAAACUGUCAGGAAUAUUGGAUAGAGGGGGUAAAAAUUGGAAAGUGCGAAAAAACAGACUGAACCACAUGACGGUGUCAUCGCCAUUUAUCAUUUAUGGCAAAUUAUUAAUUGUCAGUUGUGGAAGAUCUUUUAUAACGAUUUAAUCACAAUUCCCCUCCAAAUGGAGCAAACGUUCUCUAUGCCGUCACCAUAGCUUUCUGCGAGAGUCCUCCGCUGAGUAUUCCUAUCUUUUUUUAGCAUAUCUUCCUUCACCUAUCAUGCAUAUGAGAUAGAAAACAUCAGCUAUUAUGAACCAUUAACAACAGAUCUAAGCUUCAUGGACUCUUUCUCUUCAUCAUUUAGUCCAUUAAUAACAAGCAGCCCAAAUAAUAAAUCAACAACCAAAAACCAUUCUGAUAUAAACAAAACAAAAAACAGCUUAAAGGAUAUAACACCACCACCCUAUAACAUCAGCAAUAAAAUAAAUCUCAGAAUCAUGACGGUAAACUGCAGAAGUAUUAAAGACAAAACCUCUGAAUUUAAAAACACAAUACAAUACAUAAAGCCAGAUAUCAUAAUAGGAACCGAAUCUUGGCUAAAAGGGUAAAACCAGGAAAGAAUCCAACUAAAGAUGCUAUAAAAUGAGCAGAAGUAUUUCCUGAUAAUCAUACAUCAUACAGGAAUGACAGAGGGACCUUAGGGGAGGGGUCUUCAUAUUAGUCCAUAACAGCAUGAUCGGCACCGAACAACCGCAAUAUAUAACAAAAUGCGAGAUUGAGUGGGUUAAGCUCAAACUUAACACAGCACAAGAUCUAAUCGUCGGCUCAUUCUACAUGCCACAUAGAAACAAAGUUCAACUAGAAGAACUUGAAAAAUACCUGGAAAAAAUCACAGAGGAAAACAAAAACAGUAACAUCACACUAGCAGGCGAUUUCAGCUGCCCAGACAUAAUGUGUGACAACCUCUCAAUAAAGAAAGAUGCGCAAGAUCCAGAAGUUCAAAAACAACUCAUAAACAUUACAACUCAAUUCGAUCUUACACAAUUCCACGAGGAACCAACAAGGAAAAACAUUCUACUGGACCUUGAAUUUAAAACAAAUCCGUCGCUAAUGAAAACAUCAACGCACAUACCAGGUAUAUCUGAUCACGCCAUCAUCAUAACCGUCAUAACAUCAAACCGUACUACUCUAAAUCCAACCCUCGAAAAGUAUACACUUGGGCAAGAGCCAACUGAGAUGAAGUAAAUAAAGAUAUAGACUCACUGACAACUCAAAUACGGAAUAAUAUCCAAAACAAUCAAAAUGUCAACGAAGUUUGGUUGACAUUCAAAAAACACCUCUUUGCCAGCCUAGACAAAAGUAUUCCAUCUAAAAUAAUCAAGUCAAACAACAGACUACCAUGGAUAACCCACAAGAUCAAGAAAAUGCUGAAGAAAAAACAAAACCUGUACAACCAAGCCAAAAAAAAAAGAAAUAUUGGACUAAUUACCGCCAUUACCAAAAAUCCUGCAAGAACGAAAUCAGGAAAGCAGAACACAACUAAAUAAACAACGCCAUAAUAGAAGGAAUGAACAAGAACAACUCAAAACCAUUUUGGAAAUAUUUCAAGUCAAGGAAACAAGACAACAUCGGGGUUGCACCACUAAAGAGACAAGGACAGCUCAUAAAUGACAGCAAAGAGAAGGCACACAUUCUACUGGAGCAAUUUGCGUCUGUCUUCACAAAGGAAACAACCCAAACAUUACUAAAAACAAACAUCAGGGUAAAAGACUCCAUAACUCAAAUCACCAACAGAACAGAAGGAGUAAAAAAGCUGCUGAAAAAUAUCAACCCAGCAUCUGGCCCAGACAACAUACCAAAUAGAGUAUUAAAACAAUGCGCCGAACAUCUGGCACCAAUAAUGACUUCAAUACUCCAGCUAUCCCUAGACAGCGGUACACUACAAGAUGACUGGAGAAAUGCCAACAUCUCUAGUAUAUUUAAAAAGGGAGACCGACAUGCGGCUGAAAAUGACAGGCCCGUCUCACUGACUUCAGUACCCUGUAAGCUACUUGAGCAUAUAUUAUGCAGACACAUGCUAAAACACACAGAAAAGAAUAACGUAUUGACAUCAUUAAACCACGGCUUCAGAUCUGGAUAUUCCUGUGAGACCCAACUUGCCAUCACAAUCCACGAUAUUCUCCAGUCAUACGACACAGGAAACCAGAUAGACAUAGCAAUCCUGGAUUUCUCCAAGGCAUUCGAUACUGUACCUCAUGAUAGACUCCUGCACAAAAUAAACCAGUACGUAAUUAGAGGAAACAUACACAAAUGUCAAGAAAGAAGAUAUAUAUUUUGCUUUAAUUUAAAAAGUUUGACGGGAAUUACAAGUUAGACGGGUCUUGUCAUAAAAUUCACUUUACUUUCUUUAAAAACGGAACGAUUAAAUUAAGAAAUGAAAGGAUUGUCAGAAAAAACAAGUUAGUUAUAUUCAAAGUUUAUAAGCUUUGUAUGAUAAGUAGAGGUAUAUAGCCACGCGUCAGGCCCAGUUUUAUUUUCCCUUUCAAGUUUUCUAUACAUAUUAAUAUUGUUGUAGAGAAAUACAAAAAUCGCAGUUUUACGCUUCCCAAAUUUGAAAAUUUGAAAAAAGAUGAUUUUUUUUUUUAUCCUAUCGUAAUACACAACCUUUUCACAACUUAAGAACCUCAUCUAAACAACAAAUCUGAAAUUUCAAUAAAUAACGUCGCAAUUGACAGUUUAUUUGUAAAAAGCGGCGAUAUCCGACAUUGGACAUCUUGCAAGACAUUUGUCAGAAGCCGUUGCAUUUUUAUAUGAGGUGUGAGUGCUGCAAAAAUUCGAUUUUGAUUUGGUCUAUCUAUGUAUUUGUAUGAGCAUAAUUUACACAAACGAAAUAUCAUAUAAUCUUAUAUUUUAAAAUCUAUAAAUUUUGAUAGCUUAACAUUUUCUUAAAUCUGACCAUAAUGAACACUAUUGGUUUUUUCCAAAAUAUAGCGUUGGUCGAUACAGGAACGCAUAUUCAGUGAUAUUGUAAUACUCUAUAUAUAAAGCAUAUCAUUCAUUCGAAUUUUCGCGGAUAUAACACUGUUUUGAAGAACACAAACACCCCUACUAAGGUUAUUAUGUGUAUAGUCUGUUAAGUCUGACACGCAUAUUUUUGACGUUUUGUCAAUAUGUUGUCCUUAUUUUAUACUAUUGUUGAAUAUGAUAAAACAAAUUUGCAGUAUUUUUCGGAAUAGUACUUACCUGUCUAGUCUAUGUAUAUAAAUUUUAUAUAACUUAACUGUUAUGAUUUUAUAGAAAAACUGUUUAUUAGUGUGGACUGGUUGAUUACACGGUAUUGACGCACGUUAGGCUUCCUUAGGAGAAACCUACAACAUUGCCCUAUGGAAUGCCGGAAAACAGCAUAUAUAGCUCUCGUAAGAUCUAUUAUUAAGUAUGGAGCAAUUAUUUGGGACCCAUAUACCCAAAAAGACAUCGAUAAAUUGGAAUCUAUACAAAAAAGAGGAGCAAGAUGUAUUACAAAAGACUACAAUCAAGGGAUGAAGGAUGUAUGACCAAAAUGCUAUCAGAACUUCAGCUUCCGUCACUACAAUCAAGACGACAACAACAACGACUGAUCUUCUUUUUCAAAGUGGUUGAGGGGAAGAUACCAGCGCUUCCAACAGACGAAAUUAUUAUUUUACACAGACCCAAACGUCAAAUAAAGGCAAAAACAUUCGAUAACUUUGUGACCAAGAACAUUAUAGACAAACAAGUUCGUAACAAACGAGCGGUCAUACGGUUCCAAACAAUAAGACUGACCAGUACAAAAACUCUCAUAGGCGGAUCCAGGGGGGGGCCUGGGGGGCCCGGGCCCCCUUUCGUGUAAAAAAUUUGGUUGAUUAAAUAAGGAAUCAUUGUAGCAUGACUAGAGCGGGCCCCCUCUUAGGUCAGUCAGCGCCCCCCCCUCCUUUAGGAAAAGUUCUAGAUCCGCCACUGACUCUAUAUUUGUGCGCACUGCGGUACUCGGAAUGGAACCACCUAGAGGAUUCGGUAGUGUGCGUCACUACAACCGAGGAGUUUAAAUCCACACUCCUCAGGACAAGGGGGGGGGGGGGGUUCCAACUAUAUAUGUGUUGUCCCCAUUCAAAUGCAUUGAUCGGCCAAAAAUGGGGGGUUCCAACCCCGGACCCCCUUGGAUCCGCCAAUGGAAAGGAAUCUGUGACGUAACCAUCUCUAUACAGAAGUGGGAAAUAAUAUAGAUACAGAUACAGAUCUGUGAUUUUGGCGUUUUCAGAUUUUGUGACAAUUUGGCUUCACAAGUGGCCUCUCACCAGCAAUGGCAGCACUGCUAGUCUCCGAAUCGGAACUUAUAUCAAAAAACCAAAAAUCUAAAUUAAUUUUCGGACUUCUGGAUUCACAAAAGGCAUUUGAUGUUGUUCAUCAUGAUAUUCUUCUCGACAAGUUAUUUGACCAAAAUAUUGAUCCAGAUAUUUGGGAAAUCAUUUUUGAUAUGUACAACAACCUUACCUCUUAAAUGGAAAAAUGGAUUUAGUAACAGCUUCCCUGUACGGCAAGGAGUCCGCCAAGGAGGAAUUCUAUCCACCCAUUUGUACAAACUGUACAUUAACGACCUACUUACAGAACUUGAAGAGAAUGGUAUGGGCCAGUACAUCGGCACAAACUUUACGGGAUGUCCAACCUGUGCAGAUGACAUUAUACUACUGUCAUCAACUGAAGAAGAAAUGCAAUCUAUGCUAGAUACAUCUAAAAGAUACUCAGACAAACAUAGAUACAAGAUCCAUCCAACCAAAAGCGUUACAAUUAAUAAAUAUAGUAACUCAAAAACAACGAAGAGUGAAGUUCAAUUCAAACUCGAUGAUAAAAACAUGCCAUCAGCUAACCAAGGUACACAUCUGGGUAUCAUCAGAGCAAUUAAGGACCAAAAUAAAACAAACAUCCAGGACAGAAUAAGCUUAGCCAGAAGAACAGCCUACUCUCUUAUGAACGUUGGAGUACAUGGUACAAAUGGACUAAACCCUAAAACUUCCUAUAUGAUAUAUAGAGUAUACGUUCUACCAAGGCUACUUUACAGCCUGGAAGUUCUGCCACUCAAUAAUGGGGACAUUAAGUUGCUAAGAGAUUUCCAUGUGAAUUUUUUGAGACAAAUACAAGCUCUUCCUUCACGGACAGCAAUUUCAGCAGUAUACUUACUCGUGGGUGCUCUCCCCAUAGAGGCAGAAAUUCACAAAAGAGUUCUUAGCCUGUUCCACUCCAUCUUUUCAUCUAACAAUGAGAAUCUAAAAAAGGCUCUAGAGAGGCAAUAUGUUCUGCAAACACAUGAAUUAACUUUCCUUAACAGAGUAGCAGAUAUUUUAUACAUGUAUAAUCUUCCUCCAUGGACUGAUCUGAAAGAUCAAUUACCAUCAAAGUUAUCAUGGAAAUGCAAGGCAAGAGAAGCAAUAAACAACUACUGGAAAGUGAAUCUUCAAAGGGACGCCAAUAGCAAAACAACACUAAAAUUUCUCUGCAUCCCUAAUUUAGACAUAGGAAAACCUCAUACUAUCUGGAACAGUCUACCACCAAACAUCGGCGAACUCAGGAAAGCAACAAUAAAAGCAAGAUUAUGCACAGGGACAUAUAUAUUUCAAUCGCAGAAAGCUCGUUUCUCAAAUAUGAAUCUUGAUGCAACUUGCCCAAUUUGUCAACUGGAAGAAGAAGAUAUCAUCCAUUUUCUCACUCGCUGUCCCGUUUUGGAAGGUAUACGCAGAGAAUCUCUUAGUGUUAUCAAAAGAAUUACCAUCAAUAAAAUUGGGCUAGGAAACUGGAAUUCUAACUUUCACGAGAGAACUUGUAUUGCUCAACUAAUCUUGGAUUGUCAGCAACUGGCUCUAAACAAUAUUCUUCCUCAGGAUGACCUUUUCCUUAAUUCAAUAGAAGAACUAAGCAGGAACCUAUGUUAUAGACUCCAUCUAAAGAGAGUGUCCUUUCUUAAUAUCUAG
rnacentral:sRNA from 1 species